rnacentral:rRNA from 1 species
GACGAACGCUGGCGGCGUGCUUAACACAUGCAAGUCGAACGGAAAGGGCCUGCUUUUGUGGGGUGCUCGAGUGGCGAACGGGUGAGUAACACGUGAGUAACCUGCCCUUGACUUUGGGAUAACUUCAGGAAACUGGGGCUAAUACCCGAUAGGAGCUCCUGCUGCAUGGUGGGGGUUGGAAAGUUUCGGCGGUUGGGGAUGGACUCGCGGCUUAUCAGCUUGUUGGUGGGGUAGUGGCUUACCAAGGCUUUGACGGGUAGCCGGCCUGAGAGGGUGACCGGCCACAUGGGGACUGAGAUACGACCCAGACUCGUACGGGGGGCAGCAGGGGGGAAUAGUGCGCAAGGGGCGGAAGCCGGGUGCAGCAGCGCCGCGUGCGGGAGGACGGCCGUCGGGUAGUAAAGCGCUUUCGCCUGUGACGAAGCGUGAGUGACGGUAAUGGGUAAGGAAGCACCGGCUAACUACGUG